rnacentral:rRNA from 1 species
GUGCACCAGUCGAGAAUCCUUCGCAAUGCGGGAAACCGCGACGAGGGGACUCCCAGUGCCUACGCUCAGCGUAGGCUGUUCCCGAGCCUAGAAAGCUCGGGGAGUAAGGGCUGGGUAAGACGGGUGCCAGCCGCCGCGGUAAUACCCGCAGCCCGAGUGGUGGCCACUAUUAUUGGGCCUAAAGCGUCCGUAGCCGGCCCGGUAAAUGCCUGGGUAAAUCGUGAGGCCUAACCUCACGAAUUCCGGGUAGACUGCCGGGCUAGGGACCGGAGGAGGGAGAGGGUACUCCAGGGGUAGGGGUGAAAUCCUGUAAUCCCUGGGGGACCACCGGUGGCGAAGGCGCUCUCCUAGGACGGGUCCGACGGUGAGGGACGAAAGCCAGGGGAGCGAACCGGAUUAGAUACCCGCGUAGU